UUACUUACCUGGCAGGGGAGAUAUGGUCACUGAGGUGGUUUUCCUAGGAUAAAGUUCAUUCAUUGCACUCUGGAUGUGCUGACCCCUGUAAUUUCCCCAACUGUGGGAAAUUCAACUGCAUAAUUUGUGAUAGGGAGACUGUGUGGCACUUUCCCCUG
ensembl:snRNA U1 U1 spliceosomal RNA